rnacentral:rRNA from 1 species
AUUGAACGCUGGCGGCAGGCCUAACACAUGCAAGUCGAGCGGAUAAACGGAGCUUGUUCCUGGAUUCAGCGGCGGACGGGUGAGUAAUGCCUAGGAGUAUGCCUGGUAGUGGGGGAUAACGUCCGGAAACGGGCGCUAAUACCGCAUAGGUCCUGAGGGUGAAAGUGGGGGAUCUUUGGACAUCACGCUAUCUGAUGAGCCUAGGUCGGAUUAGCUAGUUGGUGGGGUAAAGGCCUACCAAGGCGACGAUCCGUAACUGGUCUGAGAGGAUGAUCGGUCACACUGGAACUGAGACACGGUCCAGACUCCUACGGGAGGCAGCAGUGGGGAAUAUUGGACAAUGGGCGAAAGCCUGAUCCAGCAAUGCCGCGUGUGUGAAGAAGGUCUUCGGAUUGUAAAGCACUUUAAGUCGGGAGGAAGGGCAGUAAGUUAAGACCUUGCUGUUUUGACGUUACCAACAGAAUAAGCACCGGCUAACUACGUG